GAAGUAGCUGCUGUCGCUGCUGCUGUUUCUGGCGCUGAAUUGACAGCGACAGCAGCAGUAGCUGUGGCUGUACUUGCUGAGGCAGGUGCAGGAGGUGAUGUUGAUGUUUGUACUGACGAAUCAGCAGAUGCAGCCGCAGCCGAU